GAAAUGCGAUACGUAAUGUGAAUUGCAAAUUCAGUGAAUCAUCGAGUCUUUGAACGCACAUUGCGCCCCCUGGUAUUCCGGGGGGCAUGCCUGUCCGAGCGUCAUUUCUGCCCUCAAGCACGGCUUGUGUGUUGGGCCCCGUCCUCCGAUCCCGGGGGACGGGCCCGAAAGGCAGCGGCGGCACCACGUCCGGUCCUCGAGCGUAUGGGGCUUUGUCACCCGCUCUGUAGGCCCGGCCGGCGCUUGCCGAUCAACCCAAAUUUUUAUCCAGGUUGACCUCGGAUCAGGUAGGGAUACCCGCUGAACUUAAGC
rnacentral:misc_RNA from 1 species